rnacentral:lncRNA from 1 species
AUGUCCAAGACUGAUGCUGCAAGCAGCAAGAUACAGGAAAACUCCUUCCUCAGUUUGAUCACAGGGAAAAUCUCUUCAAGCCUUCACCUCAACUUCAGGAGACCAGCAGAACAUCAGUUGGGAAGUUGGACUCUUCACCUAGAUCCCUCCAACUCCGGCUCACAUGUAACCCUUGGUCACAUGCCACUGUCAAUCAUUCCUAGGAACCUGAAGUAAUUUGUAUCCAUAGACAACCCUAGAGAGGCUGAGAUGCCCUAUAUCACACUAGGUGUCAACUGCUGCUACUCUUUGCAACUUUUUGGUGUAAUGAACCACAGUCCUUCCUGUCCUGGUAAUACCACCUAGUGGACAGAAGGAAACAACAAUAGAGGAAGAUCUGAGGCCAGAGAUGAUUGAGGCAGCCUGAUUUGCAUCUAAUCACAGUGGGGCAAAUGUUGGAGUCCAUCCUCACCCAUGAAGGGAUUACGUUGGAAGUGUACCUGUUUAAGGGUCUCAGCACUGUUGCAGAGUCAGUCCAGUAAUUCUGUUCAUUUCAGUUCUCCAAGGCAUCCCAAAUCAUUUUUGGAACAGAAAUGAGCAGGGAGUCAAGUUCAUUAAAACUGGAUCAUGUUUGGCCUGUGGAGUAUUGAUUCUAAUGCAGAAAGUGAGGGUUUUAAAAAUGAGUGGAUUUGUGAUGAAUAGUCAAGAAAAAAAAGGGAGCCUGAAUGUUGCUGGUCCAAAAUAAGAGAUUGACAUAUCAGGAAAGAGUUCUUAUCUGAUCACUAUAAUUCACUGAGCAUCCAUUGGCAGGGGCAGGGGGCCCAUGAUAACUAUAUCAGUCCUUGGAGACAUGUCUCCUCUCCCCCUCAAGUCUUCUCUUCUUUGGGCUAAGUAUCUCUAGUGCCCUCAAUUGUUCUGUUAAUUAAAUAUGUGUGUGCUCAUGUCUCUUCUCUGCUCAUGACUCCCUAUUGAUUAUAGACUAUCCUUGAGUGUUUUUACUCUGGCAUUAAACCUCAGCUCUUCACAAAAGAGUAUCAGGCUUUUCAGAUAGUUCUGGGCAAGCAUUGUCUGCUCAGAUAGCCUGGGUCUACAUUGCCAUUCAGACUCCACUCUGUACUUUCCCUCCUCUGAACCAUUGUUCAGUCUUUGUUUAGGGUUCAUAAAGAGUUUUUAUAGAUGAUUUCAUUUGAUCCAAAAAUACUACGAGGGAGAGAUUAUUAUACUCAUUUAACUGAUC